UGUCCUCAUCCUUGGGCCAGCCAGGGUCCUGAAACCAGACAUAGUGCCCCAAAUGGGGCACAUCAAACAUAGCACAGGAGGGUCUGACCACUUCCCUCACCUUGCAGGGUCUGUCUUACUGAUGCUGCCCAGUAUACAGAUAGCCUGAGUUGACAAAAGAAGAGGCCACAGUCUUCCAAAUUCUAUCAUCUGAUGUAUGUUUUGUGUGUAAUGAAAAGCUCCACAACCCUACUACUGUAAAAAGUGAUACUACUAGCAGUGGGUCUUGCAUUACCCUCAUGUGGACCGUUUCCUCAGCAUUAGGGUCUGCAGUGUGAGGAGGCUGUGGCGAGGUACCAAUGCCAGCCCACUGCUCCCUAAAGUAAAAUGACCAGGCUCCCUGGAGAGCACUUCAGACCUGUGCUCUCAUGUAAACACUGUCUAGGUUGAAUUAAAAUGGGUGUGUUGUAAGCUGGCUGUAGUGGAAAUGGUAAGUCAGGGCUUGUAGCAGUGAUUGAGCACCUGGUAGGAAGGUAGGGGAGCUCAGCUGCAUGCCCGCCUCUCAGGUGCAGGAUCCACCCCUUCCCAGACCUCAUUUAAGGGUUGGCAGCGGAGGGCAGGGUAUCUCUCUGGAGAUCGCUGUGUACCUGAGGUCUUUUGAAGGCAUGAACUCAUACACCAAGUGUGACAAUGCUACAGUGCCAGAUGGAUGGUCCAGAAUCUGUAGUGUAAUGGAGAACUGAGCCACCAAUCUUCAAACCUAGCAUACAAGUCAAAUGAGGAUUGCACAGCCACACAGCAACCUGAUCUAGAAGGUACCAACCCUGCCCAUGGCAGAGAGGUUGGAGCUACAUGAUCCCUAAGUUCUCUGCUGACACAAACUAUUCCAUGAUUACUAGUCACUCUGCCAGGCAGUGAUUAUCUCAAUACAAUGCUAUUGCCUUUGAAAUUGUUGAAAAGGAAUUGCUCCAAGCUGUUCACGCAUGUGGCUGGCACCAGAUCCCACUCUGCUGCAUCUCAUGGACCUUCUGCUGCAGUUUCUCCCCUCCUCCUCCCAGAAAUUACAAAAUAAGGGUUAAGGCACUUUGUUCAUGAAAUGCUUUCUCUUCCAUCUUCUUCAUAGUAUGGUAUUUCACUUUUUGGCUAAGGUAGUGACACAGGCGAGGACAUGAAAAAAGGUUCUGGAGCUUAAUUAGUGUGGUUAGAAAAUUGGAUAGAAAAGCAAUUUAGGAUGUGUCUGCAAAGGGGAAAGAAAGUUGAUGACAAAAGAGAAUUGGAUUCAUAAUGUACUAUUCACAUAUAACUAAUCUCCCGAACUGACUAAGACAGUUUUUCAGUAAUUUGAACACCAGCUGGCUUCAGCUUUUGGAAUAAUAUGAAAACUUGUA